GAUGAACGCUGGCGGCGUGCCUAAUACAUGCAAGUCGAGCGAACAGACGCGGAGCUUGCUCCUCUGACGUUAGCGGCGGACGGGUGAGUAACACGUGGAUAACCUACCUAUAAGACUGGGAUAACUUCGGGAAACCGGAGCUAAUACCGGAUAAUAUAUUGAACCGCAUGGUGCAAUAGUGAAAGACGGUUUUGCUGUCACUUAUAGAUGGAUCCGCGCCGCAUUAGCUAGUUGGUAAGGUAAAGGCUUACAAAGGCAACGAUGCGUAGCCGACCUGAGAGGGUGAUAGGCCACCUGGGAGCUGAGACACGGUCCAUACGCCUACGGUAGGCAGCAGUAGGGAAUCUUCCGCAAUGGGCGAAAGCCUGACGGAGCAACGCGGCGUGAGUGAUGAAGGUCUUCGGAUCGUAAAACUCUGUUAUUAGGGAAGAACAAAUGUGUAAUUAACUAUGCACGUCGUGACGGUACCUAAUCAGAAAGCCACGGCUAACUACGUG
rnacentral:rRNA from 1 species